CUGGAUGAUAGGGAGGGUGGUGAAUUCAGGGGAUGUCGGCCCUGUCUUUUAUCCCGCACCACGAAGUUCUUCUCACCCACACCCAUUUGCAGCAGAGACUGCUUUGCAUGCAGUGAGUUGGCAGCCAGUCCCCAGGGGAGACAUUGGUGGUGAGGGAGAACGGCUUUCUAUGCAUGAACAGAAAUCUCCUUCAGCACAAGGUGCCCUGUCCGGGGGUUUCAUCGGAGGGGGCCACAGUGUCUCCUGAUCCCUCCUGUCUCAGCCUCCAGACCUGAGCCCUAGGACCAUGCCUCAGGACUACCUGGCAUGAUGACUCCUUGCUGUCCCCAGUCCACCUGGCCGUGCUGCUGCUCCAGUUUCAACUGUUCUGCCUGCGGCUAUGGAACCCUGACCUGUUC
rnacentral:lncRNA from 1 species